UACGUAGGGUGCAAGCGUUGUCCGGAAUUAUUGGGCGUAAAGAGCUCGUAGGCGGUUUGUCGCGUCUGCUGUGAAAACUCGGGGCUUAACCCCGGGCCUGCAGUGGGUACGGGCAGACUAGAGUGCGGUAGGGGAGACUGGAAUUCCUGGUGUAGCGGUGAAAUGCGCAGAUAUCAGGAGGAACACCCGUAGCGAAGGCGGCACUCUGGGCCGAUUCUGACACUGAGGAGCGAAAGCGUGGGGAGCGAACAGG
rnacentral:rRNA from 1 species